ACUGACUAGGGUGUUCUGGGAAACAGAUGUGACUCAAGUAGCGUCUUUGGGGGAAGGUUUUGCUAUUGAAGACUGGAAGACAAAUGCAAAGGAUGAACUGAGGAUAAGAUCAGGAGUGUGAAGAAUGCUUGUGAGUGGGGAAGAAAUGUGUCACCCUCUAGAAGUUCAACUGGCAGACUCUUGCGCAAUGCUUCAGUAAGAGACACAUGGGUUUCUCUAAUGAUGACCUCCAGAAUGAUGCAUGCAUACCUCAGGAAGUAAGAUGAUCCAAAAAGAUGUUGAAGCCCAGGAAAUGCAGCUGCUUUGAAUUCACACAUUAAAGAAAGGAAAAUAUAAAUGAGGAAAUUGAAGGAGCAAGGACGUAGAAAACAAUGAAGUUUUCAUCCCUGGCUUUGCAGGGAGUACCUAGAAUCUGAAUCAGUCCAUUCUAUUAAAUAAUGGUAUUUUCUUAGGAUACACUGCUGGUCAGCAACUACAGCGGCUAAUGAUUUAAUCCUUGUGUAUCCAGAUAGAGAGCGGCAUCCUUUGUUUUACAGCACUGUUUGUGUACUGCAGUCCCUACAGCCUGCCCCCCACACCACUUUGGAAUUGGGUCCAGAGCCCUUUUAAUGAGGCUUUUCCUAAAAGAAAAUGUGGAUUCAACUUAAGGCUCUGCGUGAUGAAGAGCUUGAAGGAAGUAUAGUGAUGUCAGCAGCUUACCUUGAAUGCAUCAAAAAGGGUCUCUAGAGAUGUAAUCAAGUUAAUAUGGGAGUAAUACUGGAUGAGGAUGGGCUCAAAUCCAAUGACUGAUGUUUACAUAAGAAAGCAAUUGGGGCACAGACUCAUGGUUAUGAAGGUCAUGGUGAAGACAAAGGCAAAGACUGGAGUGAUGCAUCUCUAAGCCAAGAAACACCAGAGAUCACUGCAGCACAUGGCAGUUCCCAGCCAGGGAUCAUACCUGGGCCUCAGCAGCAAUCUGAGCUACUAGUGACCAUGCUGAAUCCUUAACCCACUGAGGCACAGGUCCGGUGUUGUCCAAAUUGGUAAAGUUCUUUGAGAACAGAACACUCCAUAAAUUCACAGUUUAAGUUCAAGCAGCAGGAACAGGAUAAACUAAGUGGAAAUUAAUUGAAGAUGUCUCUGCUGCUUUCAUCUGGCUCCCAUGGGAUCUAGAGACACAAUCUAUCAUCACUGGAUUAUCUUUCCUUACAGGUAAUGUUUUAUUUCUCUCUGGUUGCUUUCAAGAUGAUUUCUUUGGUCUUAGUUUUGAGUAUUUUGGCUAUGAUGUGUCUGGAUGUGUAUUACUUUAGGGUUAUCUUGUUGGUAUUUGCCCAGCUUCUUAGAUCCAAAUGUAGAUUUAUGUGUUUUGACAUAUUUGAAAAUUUUUCAGCCAUUAUGUCACCUUAUUUUUUCUUUCUGUUCCACUAUUUUUCUCUUCUCCUUCUGGGACUCCAAUGUCAUGAAUCUUUUGUUACCAUCCAUAAGUCAUUGAAACUCUGUUUAUUUUUAGUCUGUUUUUCAGGUUGCAUAAUUUCUAUUGAUCGAUCUUCAACUUUACUAAGUUUUUUCUUUUCUCAUCCCACUUCUACUAUUGAGCCCUUCCACUGAGUUUCAUUUUACUUAUUAUAUUCUCCAGUUCUAAAAUUUCCGUUUAGGGAGUUCCUGUUGUGGCUCAGUGGAACAUGACUAGCAUGCAUGAGGAUGCAGGUUUCGUUCCUGACCUCGCUCAGUGGGUUAAGGAUCCGGAGUUGCCAUGAGCUGUGGUGUAGGUCGCAGACACGGCUCGGAUCCAGCGUUGCUGUGGCUCUGGCGUAAGUUCCCUAGCCUGGGAACCUCCAUAUGCCAUGGGUGCAGCCCUAAAAAGACAAAAAAUAAAAAUAAAAAAUCAGAUUUCCAUUUAGUUCUUCUCUAUAGCUUCUGUAUAUUUGCUGAGACUCCUGGCUUUUAAAUGUUUUCAAGCAUUUGUAAUUGCUUAUUAAGGUAUUUUAAUUAUUUUUCUUUUUAAAAAAUUGAAUUUUUCUCCAAUAUUUUUGUCAAUUUUGUGUUAGCAUCUGUUGACUGUUGGCUGCACCUGUGGCAUGUGGAUGUUCCCAGGCCAGGGACUGAACAUGAGCCAAAGCAGUAACAAUGAUGAAUCCUUAAUGGCUAAGCCUCUAAGGAACUCCUUUAUAUGAUUAUGUUUAAUUGAAUCCUAGACCACAACAUAAUUUUGGAUAUUAUAUUAUGGAUCCUGGCUCAUUUAAAUCUCUUUGUUGUUGGCCAGGACAGAAGUCAGGGCUCUUCCUUACACACAGGCUUUACAGAUAGUAACUGGCUGAGACACACAGACAUCUCAUUAUUAGGAUGAGAUGUUUGACUCUCAUUUUAAUUCUCAUUCUUCAUUUUGCUAUUGGCUGACUUAGUUCCUUCAGCUCUGUCUUUGGUACAUUCCAGGGAUUUUCAUUUAGACAUAUUUCUCUGAUUCUAGUUUUGGUUUCUUCAACUAGGACUUCUUACCCUAUAUUUUGCUCCUAAGACAUGAAUCCUAAAAUAGGCCUAUUUAUUGAGAUUCCCAAUGGAACUCCUCUUGACCUCUCAUAAUGCAAAGAAUAAUGAAUUGAAGGACAACUAGUUGUGGGUACAUGCAAUAGAAUUUAAACACUGUCCAAAUUUCAGCAAACUGGAGAUCUGCCUUAUGCACUGGUUAAGACUAUACAGAAGUCUAAAUCCCAGGAUUUAGUCAAAACAGUGGUCUUAGAAAAAUAAUUUUCAUUCUUGUUCAUAUGGAGAAAGAUCUGAUUAUUAAUGAUGCAAUCCUGCCAGAAUUAGAAAUCAGAAAAUAGCAAAUCUGUGCUUCAGAUUGAAUUAAGUUAAGUGAGAGAAUAAAUAGAAAGAGACAAUGAGAGCCAGGUACUUUGAGCAGGAGAGGGUAGGAUGGGACAGGAGAGAGAAAGAUGUUCAACUAUGAAGAAAAAUAAGAGAAUGGUAGGUAAAUUAGGGAUACAAGAAUCUAACAUUGCAAAAUUCAGGUAUCUAUUUUAAUGUUCCUUUUACCUGGACAUUGGCAAUAGUCCAGGCUGCAGAGCACUAUUAAGAUAAGAGGACUACAAAGAGUGAAGGCUAAAGAUGUAGAUUCGUGAUAUAUCUGCAUCUGAGAGUUACUGCUAAUGGAGGAGGGUAGAGCCAAGAAGAGAGGUAACUAGUUAUAUAACAAAUAAUAGUAAUGUAUUUUUUUAAAGUUAAUUUAUUCUUUCAAUUUUAACUUUUACUAUGUCUAUGUUUAGAAAAGAGGUCUGUCCUUAGAUCAUCUUGCUAUUUCAACCCUGCUGGUCUAUUUUUAUACCAUGUCGCCCUGCACAGAAUUCUUGCAACCUCCAAAAUAAUACUGGCCCCAAACUAGGUAUGUCAGAUUUGUAUUCAGUAUUCAAGAUAAUGAAGGGGAUUAACAUCACGGCCUGGAAAACUACUUAAUAUAUAAAAUCCCUUGUAUAUAUCCCUGGCUUUGAAAUGUCUUUAUCUGAGGAUUGUUUCACUUAAUAACACAAAAGAAAUGUAGACAUGUGCCGAUUUUGGGGUUGGCUGAAGUAGAAGCUUCUAAGAUUCUUAAUGCUUAUGAAAUAAAUUUGGGAAAAAGGGAUAUGAUUUUGUUAUAAAUAUGGGGUCUUUUUUGAUUGCUGAUGUAAACACAGGCUUGCUUUAUUAUUAUUUAUAUGUGCUUUGUGGUGUCAGGUAUAAUCCUAGAUGCUUUAGGAACAUUUCUUUUAAUAUUCAAAACAUGUUUAGAGAUUAGAUAUUAUUAAUACCAUGUUUAGAUUAAAGUGAGAUUCAGAGAGGCUAAAUAAUAUCCCUGUAGUACUUCCUUUGUCCUGGCUAAGAUGGUGCCCUGUUCUUGUUUGCUCAACCCCCCUCCCUUUUCCUUUCUUGCAAGUUACAGUUGCCCCUAUCCCCCACCUACUGAUCCUAUCUUAUCUAAAACAAUUUGGCUUUCUCCUCUUUCCUCUCCCAAAUUAUGUACUCAGGCUCUAAUUUUCUAGAUGGUAAUUUCUUGACGUCUAGUCUCUCACUGUGUCUGCUGAUUUUAUCUAUAUCCUAGAGUACCUAUUUAGCUUAUUUACCUUUAUACUUAUGAGACUGGUAGGUAUAACUCAAUAUUUUUAAAUAUUUGUUUGUCUCAAUUAACAUAAAGGUUCUUAUUUGGAAAAUUAUGCCUAUAUCUGUGCACACAGUGUAAGCAUUUCAUAUUCUUGUUUUGUUGGUAAGUCUUACCUUGAAAAAUUAUGUCUAAUGAUUAUCAGCACUAUGAAGAUGAUAUGCUUAAGAAAUGUAAUUUAAUUAGCUAAUAAGAUCAGUGAAGUGGUAAAUUAGUCAGCCAUAAAUGAAAUAUUUGACACUUAUCCUCAAAAGAGGAAAAGUUAUUUUCUAAAAGGCAUGUCAGAUUUAACACCGUCAUGGUCUCAUGAAAUAGAACUGAAAGCUCAAAAGGACCUUAGAGAUGAUGAGGCUGAGGGCUGUCAUUCAUGGGUAGAUCACUCUCAGAGCCAGACUUAAAAGUAUAUUAUCAGGUAUCAUUUAGUAUUAUAUUUCCAAGGGUAGAAAAUGUACAUGAACUGGAACAUAUGAUAUUUUAAGUUCUAUGGGGAAAAGCAUAAUAUUUCUCAACCUGAGAAAUAUUCUCUGUAACACUCAGCAAUUGAUUAAAUAGAAAGUAAUGAAAUGAAAUUAGUUUCUUCUUAUAACUUAUUAUUAUUUGCCUGGAGCAUAUAAACUCUAUAUGGAAAAUAGAAAGGAAAUCCUAAGCACAUUUUCUCUGGGUAUGAGAAAUCCUAUUCUCAUUCCUGCUCUCCUCUUACUCCCCUUCCCUUGCCUUAUGGUUUUUGUUUGUUUGUUUGUUUUUCUAUUUCUUUCAUUCUCAUUCUCGCUCCCUUUCUCAUUGCAAACAUCCAACACAUUCCAUUAAAACUCAACCAGUACUUCACUAAAGUUGUACCACUCAAAAUUCAUUUUUAAAAGCUCUUGACCGAAUAUGUCAUUAAGCUCAGUUUAAGGGAAAAAAUUAUCAAUAAAAAUCCAUUUUGUUUGUAUGCACUUCAAAGGACAUGGAGUUUUGGUAGGGGUAUUUCUGGCUAAAAUACGAUUGUGCAAAGUAAAGUAUCUUUAAGAUCUUUCUUAAGCAAAUUUGCUUUUGCUAAAUUUGAAAAUAUUUUACAUGCUGCCUGACCUGCUCCUAUUGAUCAAAAUGCUAAAGAUUAAUAUUGAAUAUCAAUACUUUAAAACCGAAUUUCAUGAUUCACUUGGUUUCAAUGCAGAAAUUAUUUUACAACAUAAUAAAUUGAUAUUUGUACUUAUUUUCAAUAAUAAAAAUGUUUAAAUUUGUGAUAGCAUAUUAUAAGCUAAACAUAAGAAAUAAAGAGCUUUAGAUAAAAAUCAAGUGCUAAAUUAAAUAAAAAGCUACAUUAUUUCAUUUUAAUGUUUUUAGGAUUCUAAGACUCCAUGCUUUCCUAAAGUAAUUUAUUUUUAAUACCGCAUUUCUUAUUUUUAUUUAUACAGGUGAAAUUAGGUUAUUCUAGUCUGUUUUAUUAAUUUCAUUAAUUAUAGUGUAAUUACCUUAUAUAGGAGACAGAGAAAAUGACUUCUAUAUAGAAUAAAAGUAAGACAUAACACAUAUUUUGUAAGAGCUAAAUAAGAUGAAAUAAUAAGGUAAAGAAUUGUUAUAGUACCAUUUUAAAAACUAAUUUCUAAAAAACGUAUGUGAUUGACCCAACCAAAAUGAGAGAUAUGUGUGUGGGUUUUAAUACAUGUCAAAAUGAGAAUAUACUCAAAAUUGCAGAAAUACAUUUAAAUGCAGACAACCCCUGUAUUAGUCAUUAUUGUUAAACAAACGAGAAGGAGGAGAAAAAAAAAA
rnacentral:lncRNA from 1 species